rnacentral:rRNA from 1 species
GUGGGGAAUCUUCCGCAAUGGACGAAAGUCUGACGGAGCAACGCCGCGUGAGUGAAGAAGGUUUUCGGAUCGUAAAGCUCUUUCGUUAGGGACGAACGUGCUCUUUGUGAAUAAUGAGGAGUAAUGACGGUACCUAAAUAAGAAGCCACGGCUAACUACGUGCCAGCAGCCGCGGUAAUACGUAGGUGGCAAGCGUUGUCCGGAAUUAUUGGGCGUAAAGCGCGCGCAGGCGGGAUAUCAAGGCUGUCUUAAAAGUGCGAGGCUCAACCUCGUGAGGGGACAGAAACUGGUAUUCUUGAGUGUCGGAGAGGAAAGUGGAAUUCCAAGUGUAGCGGUGAAAUGCGUAGAGAUUUGGAAGAACACCAGUGGCGAAGGCGACUUUCUGGACUGUAACUGACGCUGAGGCUCGAAAGCCAGGGGAGCGAACGGGAUUAGAUACCCUAGUAGUCC